UACGGAGGGGGCAAGCGUUGUUCGGAAUUACUGGGCGUAAAGGGCGCGCAGGCGGCUGCUCAAGUCAGGCGUGAAAGGCCUGGGCUCAACCCGGGAAUUGCGCUUGAGACUGGGCUGGCUUGAGUGCGGGAGAGGAUGGUGGAAUUCCCAGUGUAGAGGUGAAAUUCGUAGAUAUUGGGAAGAACGCCGGUGGCGAAGGCGGCCAUCUGGACCGCAACUGACGCUGAGGCGCGAAAGCGUGGGGAGCAAACAGG
rnacentral:rRNA from 1 species